GACAGACUGUCCGAGUGGUUAAGGAGUUUGACUUGAAUUUAAGAAUAAUUCUUGGUCAUCAAAUGCGGUUCCCGCGCGUAGGUUCGAAUCCUGCGUCUGUCG